rnacentral:sRNA from 1 species
GGCAGGAAAAUCGUAUUCGCUUGCCAGAUGCAGUUCGCAGUCUAUAAAUUAUUAAUAUAGUGUGCAAGCAUUUGGAAGUUUUUAAUUUAGUUUUUAUAAAUUAUAACACAUUGCAAAUCUUACAGCAUAAUAUAUUCCAUAAUAUGAUAUACUUUUUUUCAAAAUUAAGACCACAAAUCAAGAAAACUUUAGGCAAGAAGUGUGCCAGAACAAAAUUGUUUACAACAAUGUAACCCAAUUGGAAUUGGAAUUCCUAGAAAUGUUUCAUCGAACCGAGAAAUACUUCCCAAAGUUUUCGCUUCUCUUCACGAAUUGUUUAUUCAGAAAUAUCUAAAUAUAGUGAAAAGAACGGAAUAUAAUUUGUGCAAAGAAUGACAUUGAAAAUUGAAGGGAGUAUAUAAUAUGCUUUUUACAAGCCAUUAAAGUUGGAAUUAUUAGGUAAAUAAGUCAUUAAAAGAGCUCGUAAAAGGCCAAGUUGUUCUCUCUAUUUUGGCGAGUACCGAGGAAAGCAAUUAAAGCAUAUAUUGUCGGGAUCGGAAUCGAAAUCGUGGAGGAUGGGAUUGGGAUUGGAAUUGGGAUUGGGUCUCCGACUGGGGCAGCUGUUGUGUUGCCUUCGUUUAAGACGAUUAUUUCAUUUAAGAUGGUGACAUUCAUUUGCAUAUCAAUGUAAAUGCGACGUAGCCAGCGCAGCAGCCACAUCCAGCAACUACGGCAGUCACAUCGCCAUCAGUCCGAGCAUGAAGCGGGAUUAAUGUGCCCGUGGCGACAUCCAUCAGCAGGCGUUCCAAAAAAACCAGCAAAAAAAAAAAAAUGAAAAUAAAAAUAAAAACAAAAAGAAGCCCAAGAUCAAGUGGAGCACGGCCAGCCACGGAGACGACUGUCCCGGGGGAUUGAGCUGCCAGGAAUACCCAUUAAAUUCAGCCCCUUUUAUCCAACGCCAUUGGCACCUGUCUGCGGAUUCACGUGAAAUUUCUAUUGUUUCUAGCUCGAGUGGCUAAUUAAUUUCACUUGAUUUGAAAUAAACGAAUUCAAGAUACUUUUAAUAGGAAAUUUAAGCUGAAAAUACUAGCAUUUAGUCGAUUCAAAGAACGUUCCUUGUACUCUC